UACCAGCUCCCCGAGUGGUGGGGACGAUUAUUGGGCUUAAAGCGUCCGUAGCCGGCUUGGCAAGUCUUUCGUUAAAUCCAGUGGCUUAACCGUUGGACUGCGGGAGAUACUGUCAGGCUAGGGGGCGGAAGAGGCCGACGGUAUUCUCGGGGUAGGGGUGAAAUCCUAUAAUCCCGGGAAGACCACCAGUGGCGAAGGCGGUCGGCUAGUACGCGCUCGACGGUGAGGGACGAAAGCUGGGGGAGCGAACCGGAUUAGAUACCCGGGUAGUCCCAGCUGUAAACGAUGCGGGCUAGGUGUUGGGGCGGCUACGUGCCGCUUCGGUGCCGCAGGGAAGCCAUUAAGCCCGCCGCCUGGGAAGUACGGCCGCAAGGCUGAAACUUAAAGGAAUUGGCGGGGGAGCACUACAAGGCGUGAAGCUUGCGGUUC
rnacentral:rRNA from 1 species